rnacentral:rRNA from 1 species
UACGUAGGUGACAAGCGUUGUCCGGAUUUACUGGGCGUAAAGAGCGCGCAGGCGGUCGAUCAAGUCGAGUGUGAAAGCCCCCGGCUCAACUGGGGAGGGUCAUUCGAUACUGAUCGACUCGAAGGCAGGAGAGGGUAGUGGAAUUCCUGGUGUACCGGUGAAAUGGGUUGAUAUCAGGAGGAACACCCGUGGCGAAGGCGGCUCACUGGCCAUCAUCUGACGCUGAGGCGCGAAAGCGUGGGUAGCAAACAGG